rnacentral:rRNA from 1 species
UGAUCCUGGCUCAGGACGAACGCUGGCGGCGUGCCUAAUACAUGCAAGUCGAGCGGACUGAAGGGAGCUUGCUCCCGGACGUUAGCGGCGGACGGGUGAGUAACACGUAGGCAACCUGCCUUGUAGACUGGGAUAACUUCGGGAAACCGGAGCUGAUACCGGAUGUUAGAUAAUUCGCGCAUGCGUGUUAUCUUAAAGUUGGCCUCGGCUAACACUACAAGAUGGGCCUGCGGCGCAUUAGCUAGUUGGUAAGGUAGUGGCUUACCAAGGCGACGAUGCGUAGCCGACCUGAGAGGGUGAUCGGCCACACUGGGACUGAGACACGGCCCAGACUCCUACGGGAGGCAGCAGUAGGGAAUCUUCCGCAAUGGACGAAAGUCUGACGGAGCAACGCCGCGUGAGCGAUGAAGGCCUUCGGGUCGUAAAGCUCUGUUGUUAGGGAAGAACAAGUGCCGUUCAAAUAGGGCGGCACCUUGACGGUACCUAACCAGAGAGCCACGGCUAACUACGUGCCAGCAGCCGCGGUAAUACGUAGGUGGCAAGCGUUGUCCGGAAUUAUUGGGCGUAAAGCGCGCGCAGGCGGUCUUUUAAGUCUGAUGUGAAAGCCCACGGCUCAACCGUGGAGGGUCAUUGGAAACUGGGAGACUUGAGUACAGAAGAGGAGAGUGGAAUUCCACGUGUAGCGGUGAAAUGCGUA